UACGGGGGGAGCAAGCGUUGUUCGGAUUUACUGGGCGUAAAGCGUGCGCAGGCGGCUGUGCAAGACAGAUGUGAAAUCCCCGGGCUCAACCUGGGAAUUGCAUUUGUGACUGCACGGCUAGAGUGUGUCAGAGGGGGGUAGAAUUCCACGUGUAGCAGUGAAAUGCGUAGAGAUGUGGAGGAAUACCGAUGGCGAAGGCAGCCCCCCUGGGAUAACACUGACGCUCAUGCACGAAAGCGUGGGGAGCAAACAGG
rnacentral:rRNA from 1 species